CGACUUCAACUUGAUAACACAACAAGUGAAUCAGCUUGACUUGUUUCUAGAAAGGUAAGGAAAUAGAAGGCUUGACUUCCGUAUUCUACAGGAGUCAAAGUCCCCCACAUGGAGUGAAUUCAUUGGACAAGGUCAAAGCUUUGCUUACACUCAUGAAGCUUAUCCAUCCAUCCGCUGCCAUUUAUAUCACCCAAUGGUUCAACAAACUCAACCGACUAGAAAGAAAGGCAGGAACCAAGCUGGGUUGAGCAUUUGCCGGCGAAUCCUCUGGCAUAUCCUGCUAUAAAUUGCAACUUGGACCGUGUAUGGUUGGGCGUUGGUGAGUUUGGUCGCUGGAAGGCGAGCUGAUCUGAAGAAAACUUCGACGAUGCCUAGAUUCUUCAGUUUUCACUGUCACCUCGACUAAACUAAGCCGCGGGUGGCAGCAAAUUGCUGCCUGAUUAGUUGAGUCUUGGCUGCGGUUAGCUAUGGCGUCCUGCAGUCUUAGCAUAUACGUAGGCAUGCAUGCAGGGGUUCUUGUCUUGCGUGCUCGUAGCAUUUCUUUAAAAAUUGGGGUGUACGUUCGGUUGGUGGAUCGGUAGAUCUAGAGGUGGAAAGCUAACACUGCAUGCCAACAAACAAUUCGAAUACAUCGACUUUUUCGGAACA